rnacentral:rRNA from 1 species
CCUCCUUUCUUCCGCCGUGGGGGCUCUUGCCCCCUGGGGGCCCCCCUGCUGCAGCGACGCCGCGUGGGUGAAGAAGCGCCUCGGCGCGUAAAGCCCUGUCAGCAGGGAAGAAAAUGACGGUACCUGAAGAAGAAGCCCCGGCUAACUACUUCCCAGCAGCCGCGGUAAUACGUAGGGGGCAAGCGUUAUCCGGAUUUACUGGGUGUAAAGGGGGCGCAGACGGCGAUGCAAGCCAGGAGUGAAAGCCCGGGGCCCAACCCCGGGACUGCUGUUGGAACUGCGUAGCUAGAGUGCAGGAGGGGCAGGCGGAAUUCCUGGUGUAGCGGUGAAAUGCGUAGAUAUCAGGAGGAACACCAGUGGCGAAGGCGGCUUGCUGGACUGAAACUGACGUUGAGGCACGAAAGCGUGGGGAGCAAACAGGAUUAGAUACCCUAGUGGUC